rnacentral:tRNA from 1 species
GUUUUCUUAGUAUAAUAGUAUUUUUGACUUCCAAUCAAAAGGUCUAAUUUUUUUUUAGAGAAUACA